rnacentral:rRNA from 1 species
AUGGAAAUGAAAGAAUGUCCACAAUACCUAGAUUUAGUCAGAUCCAAUUCAAGGGAUUUUAUAGGUUUAUUAAUCAAACCUUGGCAGAAGAACUCGACAAGUCUUCAACAAUUAAAAAUCCAGAUGAUGAAAUUGCAUUUUAAUUAAUUGAGAAAGACCAAUAGCUAUGCAGACCACCUGCCACCUGCCAGGCAUGGGCCGCCUCACCACCACCACCCACAACGGCCCCAACCACCAAUGAGGCACCUGUUGGGGGUAGUCUAA